rnacentral:lncRNA from 1 species
CCCACCCUUAAUUUAACCGGAGUCACCAGUCAGCUCCUGAGGCAUAAACAGGCAGCUGAAGCACCGCGCGUAGGCUGACUUUAGUGCUGGAUGCCGAGCAGCGCUUGGCACAGGUGGAGGAGUUUUCAUCACAGACCCAAAUUAACUCCGGUGAAGUUGUUCCGCGCCUGCCAGUGCCGGAGGAGCAAUCUCCGUGUGGGAGAAGCGCCCAGCGCGCCGCCCUCCCCUCCCGGCGCCGCUCGCCCGAACAAAGGCGGCAGCGCCGGGUCCCCUUUGUGCGCCGCGGGCCGGGCACGGAGCGAUCCCAGUGCCCGCCCCGGGCUCCCAGCACGGUCCGGCCCGGCACGGCACGGCCCGGCACAGCUCAGCUCAGCUCAGCUCAGCUCAGCACAGCACAGCACAGCACAGCAGCGCGUCGGGAGGAAGCGCCGGCUGCGCGGCGGGCGGGCGGCUGCCCGGGCCCUGCCCGCCCCCGUCUCCUCCCCUCGGCCGCCGAUUCUCCGCCCCCUCCGCCCUCUCCUCGCGGCGGCGGCGGUGCCUUCCUCGGCCCCGGCUCCUCCGGCUCUCCACGGCUUCGCCUCGCUCCGCUCCGGGGGCUCCCGCGCCGCGCUGCCCAGCACGGCAUUGCUGCAGGGAGCCUCUGGGAGUUCCAGGUGAAGAGAUCUGCCUUGAUGUGGAGACCUCUGCUGAAGGUGAAGACCUCCUAACGAGCCAGACAGCCUUAACAGGAACUCAGAAGUCUUACACCAAGGUAAAGGGAUUCAUUUUUCAAACAAAUUGAAUUGUGUCAUACAAUUCUCAAAAUAAGUAUUUUUCUUCUUGUGAAAUAAACACUCAAGUGCAUGCA